UACGAAGGGGGCUAGCGUUGCUCGGAAUCACUGGGCGUAAAGGGUGCGUAGGCGGGUCUUUAAGUCAGGGGUGAAAUCCUGGAGCUCAACUCCAGAACUGCCUUUGAUACUGAGGAUCUUGAGUUCGGGAGAGGUGAGUGGAACUGCGAGUGUAGAGGUGAAAUUCGUAGAUAUUCGCAAGAACACCAGUGGCGAAGGCGGCUCACUGGCCCGAUACUGACGCUGAGGCACGAAAGCGAUGGGG
rnacentral:rRNA from 1 species